CCAGAUGUUCCCCGUGUCAUCAGAACACACAGCAGAAAUGACCUUACAACAGAGGCAGAACCUUGUGACAGUUGAACACCGAAAUGGGGUGCUCCCAGGCGGUUGUGGAAUUCUCCCCCAGAAAGACCUUUGUCUUCCAUGAGAAUUUGUGUAUAGUUUUGCAGAAAACAUAAAGGGCUUAAGAAACAAUAUAGGGGCUCUUUUCUCUGUGCCCACUGUAUCAUAGCAGAGCAUUGCAGGGAGGUUAGCAAGGGGCUUUGUGGAAGCCUCAGAUCCAAAUCCAGGAUGCCUACAGAUGUAUCUGAACGACCUACACAGCUUAUCUUCCUUUCACUCUUUCCAGUUCCCUUGCAUGUUUACAAAUAUACUGAUUCCGUGACAGGUGAGACAAGCCUUCAGUGAAUCACUUCUGUUGUGACUUUACUGUCUUCAUGUUGGAGACUGGAAGGAUGAUUAUCUAAAGUUUUGAUAUCUUAGUUCUCAGAAAUGGCCCAAAUGUUGUUUUGACACCAUGUAAGAUAUCAAACAAAUUGACAGAAGGUGGGCAGCUACUUUGAAGUUGAAAGCUUUCUUUUUGUUUACUGAAAUGACAAGUCAGAUCUAAAUGUGUCUUUUUAAUUCUUUCAUUUGCUCUAAUAGUUCUACAUGCCAGUCUUAUAAAAAUAUCCAUCCACUGUAAGACAGAAGAACAAACAACCAAACAAAAACUCUAUAGCACCUGGGAAUGCCAUCUCACAGAAAUUUAAACAAACCAACCAUGGGUUGCCCACUGCAAUUCACUGCAGCCUGUCGUUAGUUAGAAUAAGUGGCUUUUAAUUUGUAUCCUUUAUGCUUCAAAUCAAAGCUAACUUAAUUAGUGAAAUGGCCAUGAGAGAAGGGGUUGGCGUCUAAUUACCACUGAUUAUCCCACUGUUCACUGACUAAUGACCUCAGUAAGUAUGAUAGCCGUGAGUUCUGAUCAAACUCAUCUGUGAUUCUUUUAAUCAACUAAAUUGCAUCAAAUUCAAUAAUCUAUUCUAAUUUAAGGAAGUUUUCUUUUUUUAUCCUCUAUGACAAAGAACUGUUAUUCAGGGGAAAGCAAAACCUGCAGAUGCAAAAGUUCACCGUGUCAGCUGUGUUCCCCAAAUUGUAUUCAACCUUUCUUCCCUGAUUGGUGUGAUGACUAAACUUUCUCAGUGGGAUGACACAUCCCCUUGUGGUCAUUUUUUUUUUUGUGUGUGUGUGGUUGCAGCAACUCAGAACCAUUGCACUUACCUAUCAGUCAAUUUUUUAAAAAUGUAUAAAUCAGCAAACUUCUUGAAAGAGAACAGCUGGAAGCUGCCUUAUCCAGUCUUCUUGUUAAGCCCUGUCAGACAAGGUUGACUUUAAGGCUGUCUCAGAGGGUAGCUGCUUCUUCUACUGGUCCAACAAGGUUGAGUUUAAGGCUUCCUUAGAAGUAAUUGAAGAGAUGACAAGAUUGCCUAACUGUUUAUGACUAGACUGAGGAGCUUCCACAAAAGAAAAAGGAUAAGAACAGAAACAUACAUUUAAAGCUCAAAGCUCAAGUGGAAAAUGUGAAAGCUCUUGAGAUACUCUUUUUGUCUGGUAACUACAAAGCAGAGAUGGUUGCAUAAAGGGCCACUAUGCUAUUGCACAAGUGGCAUAAUUGAUACAUUUUAGAAAAGAGCAUGAUGAAGGCCAUAUAAUAAUGUGAAGGCUUUGCUUGAGAACUGAACAGUGAGAAUGGAGGUGUGGAUAAUCGGGUUUGAAGGAGUGAACUUGAAUUCCCAAAUCAUCCCGAGAUCAUCAUGUAUGAAGAAGCAUACUCUCUUCCGGUUGAGAAACAUAAUCUUUCUAUGCCAAAAGAACUUUAUAUGACCUAAUUUAGGCUUUUAAUUUAUAAAAAGAUGCAAGUUCUGAAGAUCCAUCGUACUCUGUAUCAUUGCCUCAGUACUUACAAUUAGAAGCUGCAUCCCAGCAUCCCUCAGGAGAGAACUGUCAAACCUAUUUCCAGAAGAUACAAAGUCAAUGUCAUGGGAUCCGAAAGAUCUGUUAAAAGUACAGGAUUGGACACCUGGGGAGCUGUGUGAAGAUGUUGUCUAAAGAGUGUUAUAUUUAUUAGUGCAACUGUGAUAUGGAGUUAAUUAGAUGAACUUUUUCAAAUAGAUGUGCUUCCCCAGCAUUUUGAAUUUACUGUGAAGGUCAAAGCAACUUUCAGUACCUCUAAAGUUUCCUAUUGGUCACUGAAGCCCAGAUCUAAUGAAAACAACAUUUUUAUCAUUUCAAAAUGCUAGAGCUUCCUUACCCUAAUGUUAAAGAAGGAACCCAAAGGUUUAGAGAAGUGAGUGUCUUGGAGUAAAUUGACUACAGAUAAUAUACACUGUCCUUCCAUGCCCAUGAGGCACUGAAGGAAGGAAAAGCAAAUUUGGAAACAGUAAAGGCCAUGUGCCGUGUUUAACCUUAAAGGGAAAGGUGGUUGCAAUGAUUGUAAUCAGCCACAGAGAUUAAGUGACAUUCAGCAUUCAGAUUGAUAGAAAUCUGUGUCCGGGGCUGUUUACUAACAAUGUUCCCUGGGAUAUGGUAGAAAGUGGAUGAGUGGCCAACAGGUAAAGCUUAAUCUCUAUAGUGGGGAAAGUAUAUGUCAGGAAAGCGGGAAUCUAACUUGAAUCGUCAAGGACAGGAUUUAUGACUAAUAACCUCCCAUCUAGUUUCCAGUCAGCCUCUGGGAAGAAGGUGAGAUGAGAUGAUGAUGGAUUAGGACUGUGAGUUACCAAAUCCUCACCUGAUUGUAGUUGCUCUUCCAAGAGUCACACCUUGACUUGUACAAAUUAAUGAAGCCUCAGUAUUUAAUGACAGCAACUUUUCACCAGGGCUAAAUCAAACAUUUAAGUGAAUUUUGGGUCCUACUAUCUGAAGCCUUGCAUACAGGAAAAAAAAAAAAACGCAAAGAAGUCUGGGGCACAUCAAGUGUCUUAUAUAUGAAAAGCAGCCUUGUCACUGUGAAGAUAGCUAAUGCUGAAAGCAGAGAAUUAUUUUUUCUUUGUUUUGUUUUGUUUUGUUUUGUUUUGUUUUGUAUUGAAACAGGGUUUCUCUGUGAAACAGUCCUGGCUGUCCUGGAAUUCACUCUGUAGACAAGGCUGGCCUGGAAUUCACAGAGGUCUGCCUGCCUCUGCCUCACAAGGGUUGGAAUUAAAGGCAUGUGCCACCGCCACCUGGCUCCAGAUUUCUUUUUUCAACUCAUCACUGUGUUUCUGCCUAAAAGACCCAUCACAAGAAAUAGAUUAUCAUAGAAAAGGAGCAACAUUUACUUAAUAGACACAAAAAAAAAAACUUACCCUUUGCUCUGGAGGAGGGGACUAUCUCUGGCCCGGACUAUUCCUAUCUACCAAGGCCAUUUGCUUUGCAAACAUCCUUGAGAAGAUUAUUUAGAACAAAAGGAGUUUCCAGUUGCCCUUCUUAUGGGCUGUGAGAGACCCACAGAAAAUUGGCUGUUCUGAAGAAAACUCCAUCAGGAAUAUCUGCCUUCAAAAAAGCAGUGUGAACUUCGUGCAGAAAUUCAUCAAAAUGAUAAAAUCACUCAGGAGAAGGGAAAAAUCCUGCCUUAAAGAGCCUUACUGCAUAAACAAAGUCUCCAGGCAAUCAGAAGCAUCGAAACAGAAGGCAGAGCUGUAGGUAAAAGGCAUCUUCAAGCUCUGCAUCCUCACGUGUUCCUCCUCUCACAAGCCGAGAAGAGCCAAAGGCCAUCCAGCAGCAUUCCUCUGUUAUGCCUUUCCGUGUCUGCCAGUUCGUUUUCAUUCACUGGAAAGGCCAAUUUUCCACAUGCUAUUCAAAGUGGUGUGUGCCUUUGAAAAGAAGUGAGAAAAAGAACUAAAGACGCUGAGAGCUUAACUCAUUCCUCCCUUCCCUCCCCUCCUCCUCAAUAACAAGUUCUCGUUCUUCCAGGCUCAGUGAGCAACAAAAGCAGCCUCAUUUAGCCGUCCAAAUUUGAAGUACUGCCAGGUCAAAUAGUGCAGUGCCUCUUGUCCUCAACGGAGUAGUGUUUUACAGGGAGGGUGAGGCCUGCUCCAAAUGAUAUGACAGGCUUUGAAGAUUCCCCAUGCAAUACAAGUUUCAUUAAAACCCCGGCAUGAUACAGUAGCCUUCAUCCAGUAGCUGAUGGAAGAAGAAGCAGACACCCACAGCUAAAUACUGAGCUGAACUCUGGAAUCCAUUUGCAGAGAGGGACGAGUGAUGAGCAAAGGGGUCAAGACCAGGCUGGAGAAACCCACAGGGACAGCUGACCGGAACAAGAGGUUGCUCAUGGACACCAGACUGAUAGCUGGGAAACCAGCAAAGGACUGUUCCAGACCCCCUGAAGGAGGAGGUCGGUUUGGAGGUCUGGACAAUCUAUGGGGACAAUCUAUGGGCGGAUCAGUAUUUACCCCCUAGUACACAAAUGAACUUUGGGAGCCCAUUCCAUAUAGAGGGAUGCUCUCUCAGCCUAGACACACUGGGGAGGGUCUAGGCCCUAUCCCAAAUGAUAGGACAGACUUUGAAGAUUCCCCCAUGGAAGGCCUCACCCUCCCUGGGGAGCAGAAAGGAGGUAGGAUAGAGGGUGGGGGGGCAGGGGAGGAGGGGAGGGAGAGGGAACUAGGACUGAUAUGUAAAAGAAGUUUGUUUCUAAUUUAAAUUUAAA
rnacentral:lncRNA from 1 species